AUAAGACAUGCAAGUCGAACGGGAUUACUUUUGGUAGCAAUACCGGAAGUGAUCCAGUGGCGAACGGGUGCGUAACACGUGGGCAAUCUACCGAGAAGUGGGGGAUAGCUCGCCGAAAGGCGAAUUAAUACCGCAUGUGAUCAGGGGAGACAUCUUCCCGAAAUCAAAGGUGGCGCAAGCUACCGCUUUUUGAGGAGCCCGCGGCCUAUCAGCUUGUUGGUGAGGUAACGGCUCACCAAGGCGUUGACGGGUAGCUGGUCUGAGAGGACGACCAGUCACACUGGGACUGAGACACGGCCCAGACACCUACGGGUGGCAGCAGUCGAGAAUUUUUCUCAAUGGGGGAAACCCUGAAGGAGCGACGCCGCGUGGAGGAUGAAGGUCUUCGGGUUGUAAACUCCUGUCAUUUGGGAACAAGGUGCGCGCGUUAACUGCGCACGUAUUGAUAGUACCA
rnacentral:rRNA from 1 species